rnacentral:rRNA from 1 species
GAGUUUGAUCAUGGCUCAAGGACGAACGCUGGCGGCAUGCCUAACACAUGCAAGUCGAACGGAAGUAGCAAUACUUAGUGGCGAACGGUGAGUAACACGUGAGCAACCUGCCUUAUACUCAGGGAUAACAGUUGGAAACGACUGCUAAUACCGGAGUAAGACCUACACUAUGGCAUCAUAGAGGGGUCGAAAGUGAUUUAGCGGUAUGAGAUGGGCUCGCGUCCAAUUAGCUAGUUGGUGGGGUAACGGCCCACCAAGGCGACGAUUGGUAGCCGACUUGAGAGAGUGAUCGGCCACACUGGAACUGAGACACGGUCCAGACUCCUACGGGAGGCGAGCAGUGGGGAAGUAUUGGGCAAUGGAGGAAACUCUUACCCAGACCAAUGCCGCGUGAGUGAUGAAGGUCUUUGGUAGUUGUAAAAGCUCUUUGAUUGGGGAAGAAUAAAUGACGGUACCCAAAGAACAAGCCCCGGCUAACUAUGUGCCAGCCGCAGC